rnacentral:rRNA from 1 species
AUAUAAAUUAUUUCUCCUAUUAAAAGUAAAUAUUACAUUACAUUUUAAAACAAUUAAAUAUAAUCUGAUAGAUUAAACAUUAUUUCUUAUCAAAGACUUAUUACAUUCCUUUAGUAUCAGGAAAUAUCAACUCCUUUCAUUUAACUUCAACAUCUCGAAAUUAUAUGAUCUAUAAUAUUAUAUUAUAUAUAUUUCAAUAUAUUAAUAUAUCCUAUAAUAGUAGUUAAACACAUUACGAAUAUAAUGAUAUCUAGUUUUUCAAAAUUCGUAACAUUCAAUUAUAUUAAAUUUUUCAGAAAUUUAAUAUAUUUAUACUUAAUUAAUUUUCAAUUAAAACUAAUAGUAUUUCAAAAGUUUAAUAACUAUUCAUAUAAUUUUAUAAACCUUUUUAUUGAAAUAGCUUUACAUUAAAAUAAUAAUGAUAUUAUAACUAGAUUUACUUUCUAAAAUAUAUAAACUUUACUAAAAUUUAAUGACUGUUUAACAAAAACAUUUCUAUUAAAAUUAUUAAUAGUAAGAUCUGCUCAAUGCUAAUUAAAUAGCCGCAUUUUGUGCUAAGGUAGCAUAAUCAUUUGUCUUUUAAAUAAAGACUAGAACAAAAGAUUUAACAUUUCAAUUUAUUUAUUUAAUUUAAAUUAUCAAAAUUACCAAAAAAGUAAUAAGACUUUUAUUUCCAAGAAAGACGAUAAGACCCUAUAGAACUUAACUUCAGUUAUACUGGGGAAGUAUAUUAAUUAUAAUUUUAAUCUUCAAUAUAAUAAUAAAUAUCCAUUAUCACUGAUUAUCCAGUUACCUUAGGGAUAACAGCGCAAUUAUAUUUUAAAGCUCUCAUUAAAAAAAUAGAUUACGACCUCGAUGUUGAAUUAAUAUCCUAGAUAUAGAAAUUUGUAUCAAAGGAAGUCUGUUCGACUUUUAAACAAUUACAUGAUUUGAGUUCAGACCGGUACAAGCCAGGUCGGUUUCCAUCUUCUACAAAUAAUUUUACAGUACGAAAGGACCUAUCAUUUUAAUAUCAUUAU